rnacentral:rRNA from 1 species
UACGAAGGGGGCUAGCGUUGCUCGGAAUUACUGGGCGUAAAGGGCGCGUAGGCGGACAGUUUAGUCAGAGGUGAAAGCCCAGGGCUCAACCCUGGAAUUGCCUUUGAUACUGGCUGUCUUGAGUACGGGAGAGGUGUGUGGAACUCCGAGUGUAGAGGUGAAAUUCGUAGAUAUUCGGAAGAACACCAGUGGCGAAGGCGACACACUGGCCCGUUACUGACGCUGAGGCGCGAAAGCAUGGGGAGCAAACAGG